rnacentral:lncRNA from 10 species
UCCCAGUAGACCAAUUGAUCUGAGUUGCCUCUCUGGCCAGAAGCCAGCCCUGGCAGGGAUCCAACUUCCUCUCAAGCACUGAGAAAGGGCUCAGGUGUAUCUGGUGGCCGGCAGAGCAGGUAGUCAGCCAAGGCUUCAUAGUUCUCACCCACGGCAAUUCAGCUAGCAAACUAGAGACACUUCCCCAAGAAGACACAGCGUGGCAAGACUGCUGAGACGCAUAAAGAAAUCUUAGCUGGUUUCCUGGUUGAAUGUUCUGUUGUAGAAGAAUGCAACUGAGUUUUCUAAACAGAUCUUCUUCUUGACAUCCUUGCUGAACGAGCUUAAAAAGGAUGCAGUCCCAAAACAUAGAAGGAUUUACUCCAGAUCCAAGCAAUGAGUCAGGAACAGAAAGCCUGAUGCCCUCACCUGGAACUCUCCCUCCUCCCUGGAUGAGGACCUUCCCCAGAAUUGCAGGGCACCCACACAAGACCAAGCAAGUUCAGAGAAAAUUGAAACCUGACUUUAGAGCCUCUGGGAUGUUCACUACACCUCAUUGAACCUGUUUGGUUCACAGAGCUCCAACUACCGUCUACUUCCUGCAACUGGCCUGCUGCCAACUCCCCAGAUCUCUUGUGGAGCUGCCGGAAGAGACAGCCUGCCACAGAAGAAAGCAGCCCUCCUCUUUCAUGGCCUCCCACAUCUUGAAACAAACACAAGCAAACAAAACAAAAGCUUGAGUCCCAGCCUGAUUCACCAGGUUUGGUUCCCAAUUGUUGAAAUUCCCUUCCCAGGGCUCUCAGAACCAGGGUUGGCUGGAGGGGUGAAAGAGGCUGGCCCUGAGCCCAGUAAUAGGACACCAAGGGGGAGCUAAAAGCUGGGAUCUGGGGUGAAGAUGGGGUCUUCCAAGCUGGGAGGCAGACACCAGGCCAGAGCAACCGGCCUGCCCCAGCUCAGGCCUCUUAACCCAUGCAGGGCAAGAGUAUAAACAGAGGCCACGGACCACAUGCCUCAGUAUUUAAACUUAUAAAUCAAGCUAACAUAACAUGAAAUCAAAUAUGUUCUAUCCUCCUAGCUUGACAAAUACUUUCAUAACGAGAUGGAAUGCCAGGUUCAGAUUUAGAAUUUUCACACUCCUUAAAGUUCCAAGUCAAAAUACAGCAUUAGGGGAGGGCCCCCAACCUCGAGGUCUCCCCUCCCCCAUUUUCUUUCACUCCCAGCUCUGUCUCACACCACGAGGGAUCUUGGGUGAAUGCCCCUCGAUACCCCAGCCCCCCACAAACAGCUGCCCUUUCCCCCCUUGGCCAAGGGUAAGCACAGCAGCAGGGCAGUCUGCCCUUGGCUGGAGAGAUGGAAGGAGAGGCCACACGGGCCCUGAAAAUGCAUUUGGGGACUCUUGGGCAGGAAACUUGGGAGUUUCUGGAGCCUCAAGGAGGGUCUAGUGGGACAGAGCCACUUGGGCCCAUGAGAUCCUUGACCCAUGGAGAAGGGUAGGGCUAGAGGAGGGCCAGGGCAGGCCCUAUGAACAGAAGAACCUAGAGUAACUGCCCUGUCCCCAGAUCCUGUCACCGAGCAGGUAUACUUGGGAGGGUAUUGGAGGGUGGAACCCAAGGGAGCUUGCCCAAGGCACUAGGAAAGAAAAGUGUAAACCUUGUUAGAGAAUGCUAAGGAUAGCUGUUAAAGCCUCAGAGAUUUUACUCAUUUUUGGCUGUUUCUAAAAAUCUUCCCCCAAAGGAAGAUCUUGCUCUCAUUGAGGAUCUGAGAAAGAAUUCUCUCCAAGUAGUUUCAAAACAUUCUGAUGUAAAAACUCUGGUGUGUUAGUCAAAAAUAAAUUUUGUUGCUUGAUGGCUUCACCAUUCACAAAAUAUUCUAUCCAUCCAAUUUAAAAAUAAGAGCAGGGUAUUUAAAACUCUUUCAAUAAACACAAAUUAAAACAAUGAAGCUUG